rnacentral:lncRNA from 1 species
CUUCCUCCAUCUCCUGGUACAAAGCAAGCAUCUAAAGAUUCAUACAAUUCCCAAGCUCCCAAAUUUAAAUACUACCACUUCAUUGCCCUAGCAAAAAGUGAACCAAAUGUGUGGCUUCGUCAAGUCAGCUGAGUCCACCAUUUUCCUAAACCUCUUAAUCUCAUCUGGAAACUCUUCUAUACAAAACUCAACAAAAACUUAUCAGCCUCGUCACCAGGGCCAAGCGAUACCAAGUACUCUAAAUCAGUCUUACACUUCUUGAAGAAAAACUUACAGAACUCAUGAUCAGCAGUGAGAAAAAAUGAGGCACCAAUAUAAACAGCUAGGGCUUGAUUCGAUGCCAAAUCGGACUUGGAAAGUGACCUAAAAAUCUCAGUUAAAGCAUCCCAAUUAGCCCAACUUUGCUUUUCAGACUUUACAGCAUCUCUAAUGUCUUUAUAAAUUUCCAUUGGAUCACAGUUUGCUAUCUAGACAAAAUUCAAUCUUUCAUGUUCUGACCCAUUAUCUUCAUUUCCUAGUUCAAUCUCUCUAUAAAUUCAUCACCACCGUAUUUGAAUUCGGGUUCGCGUUCCAUCUUUUCUGAGAAGUUUGAAGAGAGCAUCCUUUUUUACAUUGUCCGAAAGUGCGCAAAUCGUGUGUACCCAUAAGUAUCGAAAAAUGUAAAAAUCUGAAAAUUGGGUAAAGUACGAGAAAUUAUAACCUAGAAACACUUUUC